rnacentral:rRNA from 1 species
UACAUGGGGUGCAAACGUUGCUCGGAAUUAUUGGGCGUAAAGCGCACGUAGGCGGUCCGUUAAGUCGGAUGUGAAAUCCCCAGGCUCAACUUGGGAACUGCAUCCGAUACUGGAUGGCUUGAAUCCGGGAGAGGGAUGCAGAAUUCCAGGUGUAGCGGUGAAAUGCGUAGAUAUCUGGAGGAAUACCGGUGGCGAAGGCGGCAUCCUGGACCGGCAUUGACGCUGAUGAGCGAAAGCAAGGGGAGCAAACGGG